rnacentral:rRNA from 1 species
GACGAACGCUGGCGGCGUGCUUAACACAUGCAAGUCGAACGAUGAAGCCGGAGCUUGCUCUGGUGAAUUAGUGGCGAACGGGUGAGUAACACGUGAGUAACCUGCCCUUGACUCUGGGAUAACUGCUAGAAAUGGUAGCUAAUACCGGAUACGACCCUCGGAGGCAUCUUCAGGGGGUGGAAAGAAUUUCGGUCAAGGAUGGACUCGCGGCCUAUCAGCUAGUUGGUGAGGUAAUGGCUCACCAAGGCGACGACGGGUAGCCGGCCUGAGAGGGUGACCGGCCACACUGGGACUGAGACACGGCCCAGACUCCUACGGGAGGCAGCAGUGGGGAAUAUUGCACAAUGGGCGCAAGCCUGAUGCAGCAACGCCGCGUGAGGGAUGACGGCCUUCGGGUUGUAAACCUCUUUUAGUAGGGAAGAAGCGAAAGUGACGGUACCUGCAGAAAAAGCACCGGCUAACUACGUGCCAGCAGCCGCCGUAA